CUGAAACUUUUUUUUUUUUAAGUUAACCAUAAAAGCUCACACAGAUGAAGAAAUAGAGACCUGCCAAAACCUUUCCCUCCAUCAGUCUGCUUGAUCUCCACAAACACAGACACUUCACAGCGUGCAUGUCUGCAUCACAACACUGUACUUAUGAGAACACCCGUUGUGGCGCAUGAAUUAUUCUAAAGCCAAACAAGGCCUUAAAUCUGCUCAAGAAAUCACGAACAGAAAUAAUCUCAGCCUCAGAGAGAGAGACACACAAACGAGCAGGAGCAAACACAAGUCGCUGCUGUUUGUCAGCUUUCCCUGGGCUACUAUUUAUUUUCAGAAGUGGAAUGGCAAGAAUUCCCUUCAUUAUCGACACCUGCUCGCAUGAACCGUAAAACGUUACGGUGUCUGGUGUCAAUCAAUAAAAGAAAAUGAAUUGUGUUACAUCAGAAGCAGGGAGCCAGAGAGAGAGAGAGACGUAUGGUCGUCUGAAUUUCUCUGCUCGGUAUCAGCCCAAUUCCCCAUUUCACCUUCGACCGUGUGGCAGCAGCACAUCCACUAAUCAGUCUUCCUCAAGAUGCAAACUGAAGCAGUUUCGUUUGUGUUGUCUGCAACUUAGAGGCCUCUGCUGCUCAAUGUUUAAAGAUGGAUUCAAAUGCUUAAUAAAAAUGUUUUAUUUUAGUAAAAGAGAAGAGACUCGUGCGUUGCUUUAGGCAGAGAAAACGGUGUUCAGGCUAAACAAGAGGUACAUCUGAUGUUAAAUGUUGCUCUCCUGCAGUGCCAGGAGACAUACGUGCAUCUCUCUCCUUGUCUUGAUUUCCUUUGUGGGUGGAAGGGAUUUCAUGACAGAUUUUUUUUUUUUUUUCAUUCUUCUUCUCUAAGCUAUAUCCAUGCAAAUGAUUGGAUUUAUCCCUGAGCACGGAUACACAGCUGGUGAUAUGUGAAGAUUGGCGUGGCGGUCUUCGCUGCAAACACUGUCUGCCGCUGGGAGUUCAGAACUCCUCCCACAUGGAGAUUUGACGCAGGUGCACACAAGUGCAACUAAGCUGGAAAACCACAUUACGACACACACAUCCUUUAAUACUGUCAAGAGAAAUCAGAAAGCAAAACAAGAAAGCCGCAAAAUGUGACAGUCGUACUCGUGGCAUGAGCCCGGAUGAAGCCGCCGCCGGUUAUCGUCUCAUUCUGCUCGUUGGCAUGUGACGUUGACCCUUGUGGCUCUCACAUCAAGAUAAUGAGGAAAUCGUGCUCACCAGCUGAAACUCUUGCCCGCCCCUCUUCCUCCUCCACAAAACCCGUCGCUGCACGCGCACUCCCUCCGGUGCCGCCGGCGCAGCUAGAAGAUUCCUCAAGCAGGAUUUGCCGUCGUGGUUUUCCUCAUCACAUUACCAGCAGGACUGUAAAGGGUUGAUGGGCAUCCACAUGCUCCGAGAAGCCAGAGGAAGUUAUCAUGUGCUGACAAGGAGUGGAUGGGGAGUACAGGCCUGCUGCGACGCUCUUAGCGCCUUUUGCUCUUUGGGCUGUACGGCGCCACCGGAAGCAGCUGUCUAUCUCAGAAAGCUCCCCGUUUCUUGUUCUGUAAUAAAACCCUUAAGAAUCAAACGACUGAGUCAAAUAU